rnacentral:rRNA from 1 species
CGCGCCGCGGGAAUACAGAGGGUGCGAGCGUUAAUCGGAUUUACUGGGCGUAAAGCGUGCGUAGGCGGCUAAUUGAGUCGGAUGUGAAAUCCCCGAGCUUAACUUGGGAAUUGCAUUCGAUACUGGUUAGCUAGAGUGUGGGAGAGGAUGGUAGAAUUCCAGGUGUAGCGGUGAAAUGCGUAGAGAUCUGGAGGAAUACCGAUGGCGAAGGCAGCCAUCUGGCCUAACACUGACGCUGAGGUACGAAAGCAUGGGGAGCAAACAGGAUUAGAUACCCGCGUAGUCCCUGUCUCUUAUACAC